UUUGGACUGAAAUCAAAUGUGGAAAAACACGUCAGGAAAAGCCAAAACCUCAGGCUCUGUGUGUGAUCAUAAAACUUUUUGCUGCAGCUUCUAAUCAGGGAAGAGAUCACCUAAUAAAAAUAGCACUUUGGAAAGAAGAACAAUUCAGUGCUGAACAGGAGUGAGGAGCUCUAACUAGUGAUAAAGACUGCACUGCUUGGGGAAGAUUUGUUGCUGUUGGUAAAAGCCUGAAGAGGCUCUUUGCAGCCAGGAAUGAUUCUUCAGCGCUGAUGGAAUGAGUGCUGCUUCUGUCCUUGGGGCAGGUGCU
rnacentral:lncRNA from 12 species